rnacentral:lncRNA from 1 species
GAGAUGAAGUGUUGCUGUGUUGCCCAGGCUGGAGUACAGUGGCACGGUCUGGGCUCACUGCAACCUCUGCCUCCCAGGUUCAAGCGAUUCUCCUGCCUCAGCCUCCCGAGUAGCUGGAAUUACAGGCACCCACUACCACGCCCUGCUAAUUUUUUGUAUUUUUAGUAGAGAUGGGGUUUCACCAUGUUGGCCAGGCGUGCUGGUAGGUACCUGUAAUCCCAGCUACUUGGGAGGCUGAGGCAGGAGAAUUGCUUGAACCCAGGAGGCGGAGGUAGCAGUGAGCAGAGAUCGUGCCAGUGCACUCCAGCCUAGGCAACAGAGUGAGACUCUGUCUCAAAAAAACCACAAAAAUAAAUAAAAAUAAAAAAUAAAAAUAAAUACCUGACAUGGCUAUUUAUUAGCGUGCUUGAAAACCAGUCCUGCAUAGAGCUACACAUGCAUAAAAAUUAUUUGGGAGAAUACACAAUAAAAUGUUAACAAUUACUAUCUCUAAGUGGUGCGAUUGUGGAUGAUUUUUUCACUUUUCUUCUUUAUUUAGUCAUACCUUUCUAUAUUUUCAUAUGCUUCUUUUCUUUUGUUUUGUUUUCUUUUUUUUUUGAGACAGAGUCCCAUGCUGUUGCCCAGGCUGGAGUACAGUGGCAUGAUCUCGGCUCACUGCAACCUCUGCCUCCCGGGUUCAGGCAAUUCUACUGCCUCAGCCUCCCAAGUAGCUGGGAUUACAGGCGUGCGCCACCAGUCCUGGCUUUUUUUUGUAUUUUUAGUAGAGACAGGGUUUCGCCGUGUUAGCCAGGCUGGUCUCGAACUCCUAACCUCAAGUGAUCUGCCUGCCUCAGCCUCCCAAAGUGCUGGGAUUACAGGCUUGAGCCACCAUGCCUGGCCCUGAUGGGUUUCUUUUAUCUUUUAUACAAAAUUGAAAGCAUACUGUGGUGUUUGACUAGUUUUUCCUUAAUAUUCAAACAAGAUAAUAUCUUUCUUUGAAAAUAUUAUCAUCAAUGGGCACCUAAUUAUAAUAUGAGGAUCUAUCAUAACUUAUUUCUUUCCAUAUUUCUUCCAAUAUACAUAUUGGAAACAAGGGUUUUUUUUGUGGCUUAUAAAUUACCUUUUGAAAAACAUCCUUUUAUGAAAGUCAUCUCUGCUUUGGGAUAGUUUUCUAGGAGUACAUUUUUAAGUCAUCAAGUUUUUAAACUUUUAUUUUUUUUUUUUUGAGACAAGGUCUCACUAUAUUGCCCAGGCUGGAUUUGAACUCUGAGGCUCAAGUGAUUCUCUUGCCUCAACCUACCCAGUAGCUGGCACUACAGGUGUGCAUUACCAUACCUGGUUAUGACCAUUUUUUAAUGACUCUUGAAAUGUAUUACCAAAUUGCUUUCCAGAGAGGCUCUCCCAAUAAUGUCAAAUCUUAUCUAGUCUUACAGUUGCAAAUUGAUAGUAGUAUAGUUUUAAAAAAUUAUCCAUUUUCUAGUUUUAAUUUAUAUUUGAGAAAUAGUUUCAUUGGAUAAUUUUUAUGUGUAUUGGCCAUAUAAAUGGCAUUUUGAUGGCAAAUGCUAUAAUAGCACUAUACUAAUGACUAUUAUCCAACAAAUCAAUUAUGGGCCAGAAGUUUUAAUAACAAUAAGUUUUUAAGGAAAAACUUUAUGACUUUUAUUUCUAUUAAAAUUUUUUUUUAAAAAACCACACUUUUUCAAAUUGACUCAAGACAUUAAAAAAAAGAGAAAUUUUUUUCCCCAAAAUUGUAAUAAAUAGCCUUCUAUCAGUCCACAAGAUGGGAGUAUUCUGAUCUUACAAUAUUUUAGCUUCAGUUGCUAAAAGUGGCAGUUUUUAGUAUUCAUAUUAAGCUUGUAUCAGAUCCCUUCUGCAAAGUCAUUAAGAAAAAAAUAAUUAUAUUCAAUUUAUAGCUCAUAAUAGUUUCCAUUCACAUGUUUGUAAGUUCACAGUCAAAAGGACUUUCUAUUUCUAUGGAAUAUUUUUCAUGCAGUUAAUAUGUGGUAGCAUCAGGUAACUGCAGUACAUGUUUACUUUAAAAAAAUAAUAAUAACUUUGGCCAGGCACGGUGGCUCACAUCUGUAAUCCCAGCACUUUAGGAGGCCAAGGCCGGUGGAUAGGUUGAGCCCAGGAGUCCAAGACCAGCCGGGGCCACGUGGCGAAAACCUGUCUCUACUAAAAAUCCAAAAAUUAGUCAGGUGUGGUAGUGCACAUCUGUAGUCCUAGCUACUCACAAGGCUGUGGUGGGAGGAUUGAUUGAGCCUGGGAGGUUGAGGCUGCAGUGAGCUGCAAUCAUGCCAAUGCACUCCAGCCUGAGGGACAGAGGGAGACCCUGUCUCAAAGCAAAACGAAACAAAAAAGCACACACACAAAGAAACCCCUAAAAAACUAAAAAAACUUAGCUGGACAUGAUGGUGUGUGCCUAUAGUUCCAGCCACUCACAGGCUAAGGCUGGAGGAUCGCUUGAGCUCAGGAGUUUGAGGCUGCAGUGAGCUGUGAUGGCGCCACUGCACUAUAGUCUAGGUGACAGAGCAAGACCCUGUCUCUUAAAAAAAAAAAAUUAACUUUUAUGCUUAGGCUUACAUGCUUUAAUAAACAGUGACUUAGAAAUAUCAGGGGAACAGGCCAGGUGCAGUGGCUCAUGCCUGUAAUCCCAGCACUUUGGGAGGCUGAGGCAGGCAGAUCACGAGGUCAGGAGUUCAAGACCAGCCUGGCCAACAUAGUGAAACCCCGUCUCUACUAAAAAUACAAAAAUUAGCUGGGCAUGAUGGUGGGCGCCUGUAGUCUCAGCUACUUGGGAGGCUGAGGCAGGAGAAUCCCUUGAACCCAGGAGGUGGAGGUUGCAGUGAGCCGAGAUUGUGCCAGGGCACUCUAGCCUGGGUGACACAGCGAGACUGUCUCAGAAAAAAAAAAAGAAAAGAAAAGAAAGAAAGAAGUAUCAGGGGAACAAACUUUUGAAAGAAACAGACAUACGUGAACCUUUCUCAUCAAACCUUAACAGCUAUCAAUCACCAUUUAUAUAAAACUGGUACCAUCUCCAAUCUCAAGUGUUCUUUUCUACAUUUCUGGAAAUUUUACCUUAGAAUCACUAGUUCUUUGGUUGGCCUUUCUAUUUCUACUUCAUGUGGGCUACUAAUCUUAGUUAAAACUCUUAUAUGUACGGUAAUUGAAUCAAUGGCUUUGACUGUCUUUUUUUUAGCAAGCCCUGAUCAACUAGGAAUACGACCACUUACAAUUGGCUACUCUCUUUUCUCUUAUUCAACAAAAGCAAAAACCAGGAGGCAUGUGUAGCUGACCUUACACAGCAACCAUACAACUUUCCAACACUCUCAUCAGCAGGAGGUCGUUCUUUAAACUCUCUUAAAAUAAUUUCAUACUUAGUAGCACUAUCCAAGUGUCACUGGACCCAAUCACUAUAAUUCAUUCUCCUUAGCACUGUCCAACAAUCUCUAAUUUUACAAAAAUACUCAAGAGUGCAUCAGAGGCCGGGCGCCUCUGAUACGGGCUCACGCCUGUAAUCCCAGCACUUUGGGAGGCUGAGGCAGGCAGAUCACCUGAGGUCGGGAGUUCGAGACCAGCCUGACCAACCUGGAGAAACCCCAUCUCUACUAAAAAUACAAAAUUAGUCAGGCAUGGUGGCGCAUGCCUGUAAUCCCAGCUAAUCGGGAGGCUGAGGCAGGAGAAUCACUUGAACCUAGGAGGCAGAGGUUGCAGUGAGCCGAGAUUGUGCCACUGCAUUCCAGCCUGGGUAACAAGAGCGAAACUCCGUCUCAAAAAAAAAAAAAGAAAAAAAAGUGCAUCAGAAAGAGCUUUUAGGAAGAUCCUUUUUAUUC